UACGUAGGGGGCAAGCGUUGUCCGGAUUUAUUGGGCGUAAAGAGCGUGUGGGCGGCUUUACAGGUCCGUUGUGAAAACUCGAGGCUCAACCUCGAGACGCCGGUGGAAACCGUAAGGCUAGAGUCCGGAAGAGGAGAGUGGAAUUCCUGGUGUAGCGGUGAAAUGCGCAGAUAUCAGGAAGAACACCCGUGGCGAAGGCGGCUCUCUGGGACGGUACUGACGCUGAGACGCGAAAGCGUGGGGAGCGAACAGG
rnacentral:rRNA from 1 species